CACUUGAUGGGUUGACAUAGCAAACACAGCAAAUCUGAACUUCAGACCACACUGUGUUGAAUUCUAGUUGAAAAUUUCCCAUGCUUUUAGAGCAGUCACUUGGGUAGGAAAUCAGUCAGCAUUUGUAAGGAAUUAAAAAUGUGUCUUCGUAUGCGUAUACUUUAAAAUGCUAUCAAGUGUGAUUUAUGGAAUCUCAAAAAUUCAGGAAACAACUGGAAGAAAAAUUAGAAAGAGCUGAGAAAUCCCUUAAACACCUAUUUGCCCAGAUGGAGAAUAGCUUUGUACUUUUGAAUUUCAGCUCUAGUAGAUUAUAGUUAUCACACCACACUACACUUUGUGUACUUUCAAUCAGAUUUUCUAAUGAUUGUCUUGGAAAAGAGGUAUAGAUGGAAAACAAAGGAAGCUAAACAUGAAACUCACAUUUUGUUUGUGGUGACAUCUACCUUCACCUGCAGAGCUUCCGGAGAGGCAGAUCACCUGGUUGAUCAAGUAGAUCAUCUCUGAAAAGUUGCUAGGUUUUCAAGCAAGGCUUGACACAUGCAGCCAUUUGAAUACUAGUGUCAAGAGGAAGAAACAAAGCAGCUCCUAGGGCAAUAUGGAUCUCUAGCUGAUCAGCUGAAAUCUCCUUCUUCAGUGAUGCUCCUAGUUGUCAUUUUCUUCAAACUCAAGUAAGGAAAGAGUUCUAUAAGAACCAGAAGAAACCUCUUCUGAUGUCUUUUUAUUUAUUGAUUGACUUUAAUAUACCACACAAUGUACACCAAGGAUUAUGAAGUUUUGUUGACACAUACAUCACUCUGAUGUAAUACUACCUUUUUUGGAAAUUUUCUUUCCAGAUAUUUCAACAGAGAAUGUUUUCACACUACAAGAGAUCAGAAUGCUAAAAUAAAAAGUAUUCAACUAAAUCUGGAAAAUCUCAGCUGAUUAACCAAUGUGCAUGUCUGUCUGUCUGUCUGCAUGUUUACAUAUAUAUGAACAAAAAGAAUGCGAAAUGGAAACCAGAGAGAUUAGCAUGAUAUGAGCCGUGUUGCUAGUUCUUCAGCUGGCUUCAGAACCUAUCUUCUUUAAUUUUCAAUUUUUGUAGUACUUUGGUAAUUCUCUGUGGUGUCCUUCUUGCUCAAUUAAUAUUUUACAAGCUUUCUUAUGUUCACAUAAAUCUGUACCUGAAUUCUAUUUGAAUUUAUCACCCCAUUUGCCCAGUGAGCAAUUUGUUCUGUGCUUUUAUGUGCUGAAUUCUUGAAUACAUCAAUAGAAUACAAAAAAAUACCCAGAAAAAGAGAAAAAGGUGUUGUUUUUUGUUUUGUUUUGUUUUUGAGGAACUGCCCAUACAGGUGAGCAGUCUGUGAAU